rnacentral:rRNA from 1 species
AUUGAACGCUGGCGGCAUGCCUUACACAUGCAAGUCGAACGGUAACGGGCCUUCGGGUGCCGACGAGUGGCGCACGGGUGAGUAAUACAUCGGAACGUGCCCGAUCGUGGGGGAUAACGAGGCGAAAGCUUUGCUAAUACCGCAUACGAUCUACGGAUGAAAGCAGGGGACCGCAAGGCCUUGCGCGGACGGAGCGGCCGAUGGCAGAUUAGGUAGUUGGUGGGAUAAAAGCUUACCAAGCCGACGAUCUGUAGCUGGCCUGAGAGGAUGAUCAGCCACACUGGGACUGAGACACGGCCCAGACUCCUACGGGAGGCAGCAGUGGGGAAUUUUGGACAAUGGGCGCAAGCCUGAUCCAGCCAUGCCGCGUGCAGGAUGAAGGCCUUCGGGUUGUAAACUGCUUUUGUACGGAACGAAAAGCCUUCUUUUAAUACAGGAGGGUCAUGACGGUACCGUAAGAAUAAGCACCGGCUAACUACGUG